GAUGAAGAACGCAGCGAAAUGCGAUACUUGGUGUGAAUUGCAGAAUCCCGUGAACCAUCGAGUCUUUGAACGCAAGUUGCGCCCGAAGCCACUAGGCCGAGGGCACGCCUGCCUGGGCGUCACACGCCGUUGCCCCCCCAUCUACUCCUUCGGGAUUGCGGGGGGCGGAUGAUGGCCUCCCGUGCGCCUAGCCGCGCGGUUGGCAUAAAUACCAAGUCCUCGGCGACGCACGCCACGACAAUCGGUGGUUGCGAAACCUCGGUUGCCCGUCGUGUGCGUUCGUCGCGCAUCGAGGGCUCGAAAAAAUGCUCGGCUCCGGCUGGGCUUUCAACGCGACCCCAGGUCAGGCGGGGUUACCCGCUGAAUUUAAGCAUAUCAAUAGCGGAGGA
rnacentral:misc_RNA from 1 species